GUGAGAGGUGUUCAGAAAGGACCAAGGUCAGUAGAAGAUGGAAAAGAAAGCCUUGUGUCUCAUUGCCACAAUUUUCACGAAAUGGUCGGAAAUCUGGAACUGAAAUUGCCAUCGAUCUGUUAUGGAAUGCAUUUGCCAGAAAACGGGUGGUGAGAGAUUUGCUCCAGCAGUGAACGCGUCUUCCGUCUUAAACAAUGUAAGGAGAUCUUGGCAGAUGGAAUGCAUUUGCCAGAAAACGGGUGGUGAGAGAUUUGCUCCAGCAGUGAACGCGUCUUCCGUCUUAAACAAUGUAAGGAGAUCUUGGCAGUGACUCAAUCGUGCACGAGAAGAUUGAAUACGUUCUCCAUCAAUGACGACAGACUGGUGUUCCACAACGGCUGCAUCCAUGUCAAGAUUACAUGUCGCAUGUCAGAGUUUGUCUGCUAGUAAAUUUACAGGGUUGAAACUUAAUAUAAAGUGUAAUGUUUGCUUUGGGUUGUGAAUCGACUGUAGUUAUUUUCAAACUAUCACAAAGUAGUGUUCAGGAAGAGUACUUUGCUACACGUACAUGUUGUAGUGGUUUAUUUCCGUGUAGGUGUGGAAACAUAAACAACAUCUUUGAAAAACCAUCGAAUUAUCGUACAAAAUUACUUUUUAAUUGUAUUUUGCUUCUUUAAACAAAAAAUGAAUAAUUGUAAUUCUCUCAGUAUAAAAAAAAAUUAUCCAGAAGUGUGUAGAUCAACGCUCUGUUAAAGGUUGGCCUUGUAUUGUGCCUUGUAUUUUUUUAGUUGACUUUUUGGUCGCAAUCAAAGAGUGAUUGAAGAAUAACUCCUUAUCGGAUGUCAGUCUUGCAUGUCCUGUCGAGUUAUAAUGCUGAGUGUCACUUGAUCACUGAACACCGGAGACCAGUCUUAAGUUUAUUAGCAUUGUCUUAGUAAAUGUGCAUUUGCAAAAUCUUUUUUUCCGUUCUUCUUUGCACAUUAUUCUUUAAAAUAGCUAUGGUUGAAAUAAGCUUGUAAGUUGGCCAUGUCAUUAUGACGUUUCUGAUUCGCAUGCUGUACAAAUUUCAGUUUUCGCUCAAAGUUGUGCCAUGAAAUGCAUAUUUAAGCAA